UGGAGCUGGAUGGUGCUGUAGCUCGGGAAGCAACAACCAGCCUGUCUAAAGGUAGCAUCCUUGGUGAUAGGUUGGAUGUCUCUGAGACAAACAUCUCAAAGCAUAAUCAACAUGAUCAACCAUCACAAGUUGAUACUCAGAAAAUACCCAUCAACAUGGCUUCUGGAGAGUGCAACAAUGUUAGAGGAAAGGAAGAGGUAAUUUCAGCUGCACCUGAAUAUCCACCUGUUGCAGCUGCAGCAAAAACAGAGAAUGAAAAUGGUUCUUCUCAGUUAAAUGGUUUCGGUGACAUGAAAGGAGAUGGCAAUGAAGGUCAAAAUGGCAAUGGUGGAAUAGGAACUAAGGGAUUGGAUUCAGAAUCCUCCUCCACUCAAAACAUCCAAUGCGUGGAUGCGCAUAAUGAAAGUGAUUUUUGUAUUAAUGGAAGGAACGAUGAUAUUAAUGGGAUGCCUUUAAAACUAACAUCAGAAUCUGAAGGAAUGCAAAAUUCAGUG
rnacentral:misc_RNA from 1 species